rnacentral:rRNA from 1 species
GGAUGAGACUAUAUUGUAUCAGCUAGUUGGUGAGGUAAUGGCUCACCAAGGCUAUGACGCAUAACUGGUCUGAGAGGAUGAUCAGUCACACUGGAACUGAGACACGGUCCAGACUCCUACGGGAGGCAGCAGUAGGGAAUAUUGCUCAAUGGGGGAAACCCUGAAGCAGCAACGCCGCGUGGAGGAUGACACUUUUCGGAGCGUAAACUCCUUUUCUUAGGGAAGAAAUUUGACGGUACCUAAGGAAUAAGCACCGGCUAACUCCGUGCCAGCAGCCGCGGUAAUACGGAGGGUGCAAGCGUUACUCGGAAUCACUGGGCGUAAAGGACGCGUAGGCGGAUUAUCAAGUCUUUUGUGAAAUCUAAUGGCUCAACCAUUAAACUGCUUGAGAAACUGAUAAUCUAGAGUGAGGGAGAGGCAGAUGGAAUUGGUGGUGUAGGGGUAAAAUCCGUAGAGAUCACCAGGAAUACCCAUUGCGAAGGCGAUCUGCUAGAACUCAACUGACGCUAAUGCGUGAAAGCGUGGGGAGCAAACAGGAUUAGAUACCCUGGUAGUCCACGCCCUAAACGAUGUAUACUAGUUGUUGCUAUGCUAGUCAUGGCAGUAAUGCACCUAACGGAUUAAGUAUACCGCCUGGGGAGUACGGUCGCAAGAUUAAAACUCAAAGGAAUAGACGGGGACCCGCACAAGCGGUGGAGCAUGUGGUUUAAUUCGAAGAUACGCGAAGAACCUUACCUGGGCUUGAUAUCCUAAGAACCUUGUAGAGAUACGAGGGUGCUAGCUUGCUAGAACUUAGUGACAGGUGCUGCACGGCUGUCGUCAGCUCGUGUCGUGAGAUGUUCGGUUAAGUCCGGCAACGAGCGCAACCCACGUAUUUAGUUGCUAACAGUUUGGCUGAGCACUCUAAAUAUACUGCCUUCGUAAGGAGGAGGAAGGUGUGGACGACGUCAAGUCAUCAUGGCCCUUAUGCCCAGGGCGACACACGUGCUACAAUGGCAUAUACAAUGAGACGCAAUAUCGUGAGAUGGAGCAAAUCUAUAAAAUAUGUCCCAGUUCGGAUUGUUCUCUGCAACUCGAGAGCAUGAAGCCGGAAUCGCUAGUAAUCGUAGAUCAGCCAUGCUACGGUGAAUACGUUCCCGGGUCUUGUACUCACCGCCCGUCACACCAUGGGAGUUGAUUUCACUCGAAGUCGGAAUGCUAAACUAGCUACCGCCCACAGUGGAAUCAGCGACUGGGGUGAAGUCGUAACAAGGUAACCGUAGGAGAACCUGCGGUUG